UACGGAGGGGGCCAGCGUUGUUCGGAAUCAUUGGGCGUAAAGGGCGCGUAGGCGGCCGAGCACGUCGGAGGUGAAAUCCCUCGGCUCAACUGAGGAAUUGCCUCCGAUACUGUUCGGCUUGAGUCCUGGAGAGGGUAGUGGAAUUCCCAGUGUAGCGGUGAAAUGCGUAGAGACUGGGAAGAACACCAGUGGCGAAGGCGGCUACCUGGACAGGUACUGACGCUGAAGCGCGAAAGCUAGGGGAGCAAACAGG
rnacentral:rRNA from 1 species